AGUGUGUUGUGUGAGAGAGAGGUUUCUCUACUCCCUGACCUAGUUCUUCAAUCUUGAAUUUUGGGUCAUUUUGGUUCGUAGCAGAAACUCCGCAGCAAUCAGUAUCACUACUUCACACCACCAAGAGCAACCUCUUUGAAGAUUGGGACUCCAUAAAAAUCAUUUCUUUCACCUUUCUUCAAUCUUGAACACCUUUAAUUUCAAGCUCUGCUCAUUUUCAACUCAUUCUACAAUCAAUUUUUCAGCUUGUUCCGGUUGUAGUUGUGAGAGCUUUUGGUCUGGUUAUAUCGUUGGGAGUGAGUGUAAGUUGGGGCUGAAUUUGGAGAUCUUAAUUUUAGACUUUUUAGUGGUCUGAGGAGUGCAAUAAGAUUUGAUUUAAUUUUUGUGGCAUCUUCAUGGUGAAGACAGAGACUUUGUGAUAUUUUAUUCUUUUUCUUUAA